GUCUUCUAUUUACGCCUGGUUGCUCAACUCGAGUUGCUCGGAGCUGAUUUUCCGUGUUCUAUUUACGCCAAGCAACACGGGUUGGGGCAACUGUAGUUGCUCGGAGGGGCAACCACAGCAACCACGCUCGGGACAGUGGUUGGUCGAGGUGGUGUCUGGCAACCCCAUCGUGGUUGCAGAUCAGCUGAUACACCAAGGCGUCCCUUAAGUUGUAAUUACAUAACACUGCUUCCUUGCUAGAGAUGGCAGAGGCUCAUCGUCCAUCUUAUAAAUGUCCUUUCUGUACUUUGGUGGCACCAACUAGUACCUACAUUAUUGAUCAUCAAGUGUUUGCCCACUCACACCUUGUUCAACAGAGAGAAGAUGCACUGAUUGUAGAAGUAUCAGGCUCACAAGGUGAUGUCUCUGAGUCGCCUGAUGAACCGUUAACUCUUGAAGUGACAUGUGAAGGAACCCCUCACCCCUUUGAGGGAAGUACACAAUUUGCCUCAUGGGAACUCCACAGCAUUACAGUGCAGGCAGAAGUGGAGUAACCUGUUGAAGGCAUACAAAAAAUACAUAGACAAUGUCAAUAAAACAGGGGCACCACCAAUCCCUCAACCUUCUCACUUUGACAUUCUCCAUGGUCUCCUUCGGGUCUCCCACAGCAUUGAACCACGGAACCUCUUUGAAAGUGGUAGAACAAUGGCUUGUUCUUUGCAAAAAGAAAUGAUUGCUUUUGCACCAACUGAUGAAGAUUUGGAUGCUGACCAUGAACUACCACCACCAGCUGUUCUAAGUGCACCCACAGAAGGUGGCAAAAGAGUGGCACCUACUGGACGAAGUGGACGCACUGAGGCCAGCAUAGCACUGGCAAGUGCUGGCCCCUCUACAAGUGGUACUGGACCUACUGGACGAAGUGUACGCGCUGAAGCCGGCAUAGGAGUGGCAGGUGCAGGGCCCUCGACAGGAGUUACUGGAUCUGCUGGUUCAAGUACCCAUACUGAAGCCAGUACACCAGUGACAGGCGCUGGCCCCAGUAGGAGCCGACGGCAAAGGGUAACUCCUCCUUCACACAAUGCUGAAGUAAGACGACUGCUGCAGGAUGUUGUGGAUCAGCUGAAGACGCAUGCAGAAGUUGUGAAGAAUAGUGAAGUCGUUAGGGCACACCACAGUGAAUCUCUUAUAAAGGAAUUGCGAAGAUUCAAUGACAAUUACGAAUCCAUGCAUGGAAAAAAAUCGCGGAAAAGGCGACAUGAAUCUGACAGUGACUGAAAGUGUAAAAAUGUUUUGGAUGUUGGGCUGAAUUAGCCACCAAAUAAUUUAUUAGUAAUUAAUCAA